UGAUAAGUAGGUGUAUUGGUCUUUGCCAAAUGGGUAUACUCAAUAUAUUUAGAGAUAUAUUAACAAAACAUGCCCAGCAAUCGCUUGGAUGCGAUGCGGACUUAGGUAGGUAAAACAUCAGAUAUUAAAAGUGGCAUGCUUAAAAGGUGUAAAGGCAGCUGCCGUCGUCGCUCCUUGCCGUUGGGUCGUAGUUCUUGGCAUUUUGGUCGGUGCAACCUUCCGGCACGGGCAAAGUACCUUGCUGUGCUCCUUUACCUGCAAUUUAAUUGUUUUGGACGACGUGAUGAGAAGAUGAGCUUGAUAUGCCGGCGGAAGAGCAGGUAAGAAAAACAGGCCUCCACUCCCUUUUUUUUUCCGAAGUAAGAAAGUGAGAAAGAAGUAUGCAUGUAAAGUAGUUGCUGAAAGUAUAAGAAGAUUGUGCGUAGUUCACCUCCUCCUAUGCAGCAAGAGAUGGUGGGUGUGUAUGGAGAAUUUUCUAACCGUAGAAGGAACCAGUCUUCAUCGCAUCCUGGUUAGCAUCACCCAGAGCUGCCUGGCUCAUGUAGGUGUCAGCAAGCUGCACACGCUUGACAUUGUCCUGCUCCUGGACGAGCAUGUGCCCGUACUCUAGCAGCUUCUCGACUGUCAUCUUUGGCUGCUCGAAGGUCACGGGCCCGUCCCGCGAGUUCACCAGCCUCUUGCCAAUGUUCUCGAUUCCGGUAGAGCCGACCCACUUGCGCACCUCAUCGUCGUACACCCGAGCACGCAGAGCACCGAAAAAGUCUGUAUCGGAUCGAUGCAUGAUACUUUGUUAAUUACUGAUAUACAACUUGUCUGCCCUGAUGAAUAUAUAUAUAUAUAUUUGGAAACAAGAGAAAUAUACCAAUGGAUUGUCCUGGGAAGGUGUCGACGAUCUUGACGACAGACUCGUCACUGACAUUGUCGGUCUGGAAGAUACCCUUGCAGACACCGAUACGGUCGUCACGGGUGGGAGCCCAGUAGAACUUCUCCAUACGACCAUCACGGAUCAGAGGAGCGUAGAGCGUCGAGAAAUCGUUACCGGUGACGACGAUGGGCACACGGGGGUUCUCCUCCUUGUUGUACAUGCCAGGGAGCUGCACGUUGGUGGGGGCAUCGGCGAUGUUCAUCAGGGUGGCGUUCACCAUCUGGUUGUUGACGGUGUACUGCGUGGUUCCGCCCAUCCUACCCGCACCAGCGUCAAGAUCGUUGAUGAAGAGGCAGCACAUCUUACCCUUCUUGAUCAUGUCUGCAGCCUCACGGUACCGCUGCCUGAUGAGCUUGGCUGGCUCUCCAGCGUUCCCACUCUCCAGCUCUCCGGCACUCAUCAUGAUGGGGCUGUGGCAAAAAGCACAGGUCAUUAUCUAUUAUUACUAUUAUCUUAUACUCCCUCUGUUCUUAAAUAUAAGUCUUUUAAGCGAUUUCAUCAAGAAACUACAUACAAAACAAAAAGAAUGAAUCUACACUCUAAAGUAUGUCUAUAUACAUCCGUAUGUAGUCCUUUAGUGAAAUCUCUAAAAUGACUUAUAUUAUGGAACGGAGGGAGUAGUAUUUCUUUAGGGAGGAAGUAGAUGAAUGUAAAUUCUUACUUGAUGCCCAUCUUGGCGAACACAAGCUCACACUGGAAUGAUUUUCCUUGACCCUUGCCUCCCCAGAUACCCAAGAUGAGUGGGAUCUGAAUUUCGAUUCAAGGUCAGUUUCAGAAUCAGAAUGAUUCAUUUUAUUGCUGCUUCUGCUAAUAAUCAAUUAAAUUAAAUAACGAUGUCUGCAUGCAUCGAUUAAUUCAACCUCCUUUUUUCAAAAAAAGAAAAGAANNNNNNNNNNNNNNNNNNNNNNNNNNNNNNNNNNNNNNNNNNNNNNNNNNNNNNNNNNNNNNNNNNNNNNNNNNNNNNNNNNNNNNNNNNNNNNNNNNNNNNNNNNNNNNNNNNNNNNNNNNNNNNNNNNNNNNNNNNNNNNNNNNNNNNNNNNNNNNNNNNNNNNNNNNNNNNNNNNNNNNNNNNNNNNNNNNNNNNNNNNNNNNNNNNNNNNNNNNNNNNNNNNNNNNNNNNNNNNNNNNNNNNNNNNNNNNNNNNNNNNNNNNNNNNNNNNNNNNNNNNNNNNNNNNNNNNNNNNNNNNNNNNNNNNNNNNNNNNNNNNNNNNNNNNNNNNNNNNNNNNNNAGGUACCUUGAUGUUGGGCAGGGUCAUGAAGUUUUUGGAGAGAUGGACAACAAGCUUGUCCAUGAAAGCAGGAGCGAUGUAGAAGCCUCCCAUGGUGUUGUCGAAGUCGUACUUCCGCAGGCCCUGGCUGACGUACUCGUAGGAGCUGAGGACGGCCUCGUGGGUGCCGUCGCCCGUGGGCGCCUGGAAGAGCGAGUCCACGAUGCCCUUCCCUCUGGUGAUGUCCUGCUGGUCGUCGGAGAUAUCGUACGCAAGACCCUUCCACUUGUCGGUGUUCCUCUUCUCGUCGAUGUUCUCCGCUGCCAUGACUGUGAACCUGUUGGCCUUGGAGCUCUUGCCAUGGUAGUUCACGGCCGAGGUCACCUGCUUCUUGAGCUUCUUCCCGAGGAAGUUGGUCGGCGUAGAAGCCUGUAUACAUUACAUUACAUUACAUAUACACACAUGAGAUGCCGCUGAAGACACUGAUAGGAUAUCAUCACUAAGCAAGAGAUGCAAUCAAUCAAUCGAUCGAUCAGUGUGUGGUACGCACCGGAGCCCCGACGGUGGAGGAGAAGGCAGCAGCCAUCUCUGUGCUGCUUGGUCGACCUUGCUAGCAACGGUGGAUGCGCGCGGCUGUGCUGGUGAUCAGUGAUGAAUGACUGCUGCUGCUCAAAGUAUAGAGGCCGAGCUAUGUGACGCCUUAAAUACACGUGGAUUGGCAUAUUGCUGCUCUGCUGUGGGGAGCUUGGAGGAGGAGGCGGCAUACACACACCCCUGCUUGUGGAUCAGCCUCCCGAUCCCCCAGAGGCCACACGCUGGAGAUUGGGUUCUGAGCGUCUUGGCCGGCCGGUUGGAUGACUUGGACCGUCAAGACCAAACGCUGCAGCUGCAGCUGCAGAUACGUCUGCUGGCCAUCAAUUCCAUGGCCUUCCACGGCCACAGAAUCUAACCAUUCAUGCUCAAAUCAUCUCCCAUUUCUUCCGUGCCUUUCAUUUUUUCCUUUCACUCGGUCGCCCGUAUAUACUAUCUUGUUUAUUAGCCAAGCCAUGUCAUUGCAUAACCACAAAAAAAGGGUCUCUCGUUGCUUGUUGGAUGAGGCACCCAAGAUUGUAUUCUAGUUCCAAGUACCACAAAUUUGUUGCUGCCAUACAUAUACUGGUUUGUUGAUAACCAUCAAGCUAGGGAUGUCAUUUGGCACCACACAAAUCAAGUCCUGGUUGACAUCAAGCACAUGGGUUUGUACUUUUGUCUACUCCAAUAAAUAUUGCCACUUCGGUAAAAAAAAAUGAAGCGUAUUAAGAGAAAAGGUAGCCAUGCAGUUUUGCUUUGAUGAAAAGAUUAUAGAACGUGUCUAAUGUUUUCAUGUAAAUGUAAUUCGUGUUGCCUAGCUCAAGUUCCCUGCUGGUAUUCUCAUUGUUUGGGUCUAGUACAGACCAUUAAUUGAUCAUUACGAUGAAUGCGAGCCGUUUGGCUCGCACAAUCUUUGUCCAAUACACCUUCUAGUGAUGUUGUCCUUGUUAAUCAACUUUGUGGUGCAAAUUGGGGUUUCCGUAAUCCGUCAAAGGGAAAAUAUGUAUGUAUGUGAUGAGUCAUGACCCCCCACAUCCACAGUACUCGUACCUAAUCAACAAGCUUCAGAUGAUUUCCACAUAUGUGCUAAUCUUCCGACAAGUGCUAAUAUCAAGAGAUAUAUAGGUUGUUGGGACUUGGGACCCUAGCUUGCAUCCAUUGGAGAAAUGAUUAAGCGGAAAAUGACGAUUUAAGAACAUAUACAAUUCCUUUCUCUUUCAAGAAGAGACUUACAAUUGGGUUACCUGUGCGGCGAUGAAUCAAAAAGUUUGAGUGGAUUUCGGGUCCAAAAUAGUCCAACAUAUAUAUAGUGCAUGCAUGCAUCUUAAGUAGAGUAGGACCUUCUACUUGCCGUAGAAGGCACCGGUCUUCAUGGCGUCGUCGUUGGCUUGGCCGAGCGCCGCCUCGCUGAGGUACUUGUCGGCGAGCUGCACACGCUUGACGUUCUCCUGCUCCUGGACCAGCAUGUGGCCGUACUCCAUGAGCUUCUCUAUGGUCAUCUUGGGCUGGUCGAACGUGGGCGGCCCCUCCCUGGAGUUGACGAGGCGCUUGGAGAUGUUCUCCACGCCGAUCUCGCCGACCCACUUGCGCACCUCGUCGUCGUACACCCGUGCCCGCAGCGCGCCGAAGAAGUCGAUGGACUGCCCCGGGAAGGUGUCCACCAGCCUCACCACGGCCUCGUCCGGGACGUUGUCGGUGCGGAAGAUGCCCUUGCACACGCCGAUGCGGUCCUCGCGGGUGGGCGCCCAGUAGAACUUCUCCAUGCGCCCGUCACGGAUCAGGGGAGCGUACAGCGUCGAGAAGUCGUUGCCGGUGACGAUGAUGGGCACGCGGGGGUUCUCCUCCUUGUUGUACAUCCCCGGGAGCUGCACGUUGGUGGGCGCGUCCGCGAUGUUCAUCAGGGUGGCGUUCACCAUCUGGUUGUUCACCGUGUACUGCGUCGUCCCGCCCAUCCGGCCCGCGCCGGCGUCCAGGUCGUUGAUGAAGAGGCAGCACAUCUUGCCCUUGUUGAUAAUGUCGGCCGCCUCGCGGUACCUCUGCCGGAUCAGCUUGGCCGGCUCGCCGGCGUUGCCGCUCUCCAGCUCACCGGCGCUCAUCAUGAUGGGGUUGAUGCCCAUCUUGGCGAACACCAGCUCACACUGGAACGACUUGCCCUGUCCCUUGCCUCCCCAGAUACCCAGGAUGAGAGGAACCUUGAUGUUGGGGAGUGUCAUGAAGUUCUUGGCGAGGUGGACGAUGAGCUUGUCCAUGAAUGCCGGCGCGAUGUACAGCCCGUCCAUGGUGUUGUCGAAGUCGUACUUCCGCAGGCCCUGGCUGAUGUACUCGUAGGAGCUUAGGAUGGCCUCGUGGGUGCCGUCGCCCAUGGGGGCCUGGAACAGGGAGUCCACGAUGCCUUUCCCCCGAGUGAUGUCCUGCUGGUCGUCCGAGAUGUCGUAGGCCAGACCCUUCCACCGGUCCGCAUCGGUCUGCUUGCCCUGGUCAAGUUCCUUUUUGGCCGCCAUGACCCUCACCACCCUGCUCUUCAUCUUGUUGCCACCAUGGUAGUAGUUCUUCACCUUCUUGCCCAGGAAGAUGGUCGGGGUCGACGCCUGCACAAGUAUGACAUAGUCAGCCCCAAUCACAUUCAUGCACGUUGGUUCACUUGCUGCUUGCUUUCAAUAGCAAUUGCCACGAUGAACGCUUAAUUUGCAGAUAUCAACCCUUCAUUUGGGCAGUUCCAGACUUCACUCGCUAUUCAAUUGCAUCCGCAUAUAUAUAGAAUUAAUUAGUCCAUCCAAAAGCUCCAGCUGAUGAACAGGGGCGGAAGGUCAAAGGUACAAUACCAGAAGUGGUGGGCCCGUGUUGAAGAGAGUGGGGGCCUAGGACCCUACUCAAAAUAUGAAAUUUCAAUACGAUUUGAAUAACUUUUAGGAGGAAAUGCUAAAACUCAAUGAAUUUGGAUAAAAUGUGACACCACUCUUAAAUCGUUUUUGUUACUCUCCAUCAUUUACCUCCCUUAUUUUAAUGAUGUUUUGCCACGAGUCAAAAUAGUUUUUAGAUCCGUCCCGUCCCGGCAUGCUGGGCCUUGAAGUUGAUGCCCCAUGGCUUGAAUGACAUAUUGAAUUACAAAACAACCUACUCCCUCCGUCUUGGUUUAUAAGUCAUCUUAUGAAAAAAAAAUCUCAAAACACUUAGGCACGAUGCAUUAAUUUUCUGCUUGUUUUUUGUUUUUUUUUACAUGGAUAAAGGAAUCAACCAAUAAGAGACAUGGAACGUGUAUGUUUUUAAUGACUUGCGACUAACUAGCACGACAUGCAGUGGUUAAUUCAUUACAUGCAAUGAUAUUAAUUAGCAAAUUAAUAUAUUUUUUUGUUUUCCUCUCCGUUUUGAUCACGAUGCACAACCUAAUAUGACCUAUACACUGAGACGGAGGGAGUAACUAAUUCAGCCAAAAGUUCUUACUAAUGAAGAAUGAGGAGAAGCAUACUUCACUAGUUAGUUUCUAAUAUUAUNAUUCUCACACACGGGCUUGACAACCGUGUGCCUCCACUCGAGACUUUUGAGGUUCUAUCUUUCCCUUCCUCCUCCACGCAAUAGCUUCGAAAAAGUGUAACCAUUAGCUUCCCACAUUUCUCAACACUCCCCGUCACCACCCUCACCUCGCCCUAUUUGUAAUUUGCAUCGUGAUUUAAUAAACCUCACAAUAGUUGCUCCUAAAUAAAAUCUCGCUACCACCUCCCGUUCAUUCUCAUCCGCGCCAUCAUGAAACAACCAUUAGUAUUGCCUAAAUUAUCUUUAUCGUGCUAACUCAAUAUUCAAGGUCAUGCCCAAACCGAGAUCAAAUGACCUCAUUUGAUAGCCUUCGCCCCAUGGUGGCUAGCCAUCCGCUGCCCACCCCAUCACCCUAGACUCACCCGAGAGUUUGGAUACCCUAACCCGCUACCCAAACCCGAACUGAACCAAAAUACCCGAAUUGUCGGGUAAUAUGGGUAUCGGGUUAAGGUUUGGUUCUCAUUUCCUGGCUAUUCGGUUUUCGGGUUAGGGUUCAGGUUCUAGUCUGUAAAACCCAAAAUACCCAUACUACCCGAAUUAUUCAUACUAGUCAAAUUAUUUAUGUUAUUAUUACACUUACAUGUUACACAAACUAACUAAAACACCCACACUAUCUGAAUUAUUCAUGCCGAAACUUAAUGUGUGCUCUGAAUAUUUUGGGUUUUUUGGGUACCCGAGUUACCCAAACCAAAAUUUUGGGUAAUUUGGGUUCGGUUAUUUUUUUGACAUAAAAAAUUCCGAUUCCCAUUUUUUUAAUACCCGAAUUACACAUGAACCGAAAUAACCAAAAUACCCGAACGCUCAGGCUGACCAUAGACAGUCUUUUUAAGCCCCGGAAGGCAUGGGUGAGGAAAGAGAUGCCCUUGUCGGAGUCAACACAUAGAGAGGAGGCCCAGCUUGUCGCGUCCGAAUCUCAAAGCAAGAUCACACGGUCACAAAUUAUAUUAAAAACUGUACAAAAUGAAACAAUUCAGACCUGAAAAUGUGUAGCAACUCUGUCAAUUAAUUUAGAGAGACGGUGAGUUUUCUUUUUGUCGUACACACGUUGUGUCCACUGAAUUAAGGAUUAGGAACCACGAGUGUACGUGGAAGUGUAGGUCAUACGUACCGGAGCUCCAACGGUGGACGAGAAAGCAGAAGCCAUGGUGUUGAUCGAUCGUUCUCUUCUCGCUGCUGAUAACUUAAUUACAGUAGUUUCUAAUUAAUUUGAUGUGCGUACGUGCAGUGGUAUAUGCAAGCUAGCUCGAUCAGCUCUCAGCUGGAUUAGGCCGGCGUACUACUAGUACACCUACAGAUGCAGGUGGACUGAGAUCGAUCGUCAGUGAUGGAUGGAGCUGAUAUGGAUAAAAGAGAGGGGUGCAGUGGUUAGCAGGUACAGAUGCGAUGCCGAUCGAUGGAGCUUGGCCAUGGCGUCUUAUAUAGGUGCAUGGACAGAUGGCCAUGGAGCAAGCGUCCAACACGACUGGAGUGACCUAGAGCGUGAGAGACUAUUCUAGAGCGUCCCUGCGUAAUCACGCAGUCAAGCCACAUAAGCUGUGAUUAUCAGGCCGGCUGCGAUAAGUAGCUAGUGAGGCGAGCCAAGUGGAGUGGAUGAUGAGAUGUUAAUUGUGUGGAUAGGGUUGGGCAUCUCCCAGGAGCCACACGCUGAGGAUUGGCUCCAUCCGUCUCUACACAACGGCGUCGACGCGGCUGCUCCUCAGCCUUCCGAUCGGCGCAUCCAACGGCCCAAAUGUGAUCUAAGCUGCAUGCAUUCGGUUCCUUGUCGGAUGGGGAUCCGGAGCAUGCAUGCAUGCCUGCCGUACACCACUACGGAGUACUACAAUACUAAUAGAUGUGCAUGCAAAUUUUCUAGAAUGUAGAUGGUUAUUGAUUGGCUGUGAAAUGAGUUAAAAAAUAACAUUUACACUACACAUGCAUAUAGAAGUAGUACAACGGAGUACUAAUUAGCUGCUAGGAGUAAAUGCAACGUGCCUUAAUCUUUGUUUAUUUUGAAAACGCACGCAAGUCUAACUGUACCUUCUAAACCGUGACGGAGGAAGUAAAUUUCUUUUUUGCGGGUAUGCAUGCAUUAUUACUCUAGUUACGAGACCGAUGCCUUCACCCUUCACCAUAAAAAUCACAUCUCGUUCGUUCUAUUUUUCUUUCUUUUGCAUUUUGCAUGAAAUGUCUAGGCUGGCUUUUACACCGCCACAAAGUACUAAUCCCAUUCCCUCCAGUAGGGCCCGGGUGAAACUUCAUGAAGUAUUUUUAAAUAUUCCCUUCAUUUUUAAAAGGCUGGAAUCGGGUCUAAUGGUUAGUCUUCUGUCCCGGUUCUGGCCACCAACCGGGACCAAAGAGAUGCCUAUAUAUACCCGCACCCUGCGCACCCUGUGCUCUGGUUUUUGGCCUAGGUGUGCAUGACAUGCUCUUGUUGCCACCCUUCUAUGCAUGCACAUGAGGUGUUCGAUGAAAAGCCCGAGCCACACUUAAGCUUUCUCCUCUCCAAGCUCAACCUCCAAGCUCCAUUUUCCUUAAUAUUUGUCUAAGUUUGGCGGUACACCAACUACACAAGGGUUCUAAAAGUUUAGCUAGUUUAGCUCAUUUCAAAUGGUCUAAAAGUAGAGUGGUUUGUGGGUUUUAGUGUAGGAGUGUAUGUGGGAGUUCUUUUGAUUUAGAUGCAAAAUUUGAGCUCAGAUUAACUUCUUAUAGACUCUGUACAUGUAUAGGGUGCCGUCUCGUGCCCGUCCUCGCUGUCGUCGAUCGCCCGCGCCGAUCUCGUUGCCAGCACCACCGUGGUGAGCCUCUUUUUCUUAUCUUCUUUUUAAAAGAAUUUUUUUUCUUACUUGUAUGAUUUAGAUAGAUAUUUGUAUAAAUUACUUACUUUUAUUAUUUUUUGUUAUUAUAUAGUGCGAUGGUUUUGGUAUCCACCCACGUCGUCCCUCGUCCGGCCUAUGAUUCGGACGUGGUAUAUUUUCUUUUAUUACUAUUUGUUUCAUUUAGUGUUUAUGACGAUAAUUAUGCCGACCAAUGUGACAUGGAUGUUUUUAUCUAGGAUGUAUGUGAACCGGAAAUUCCAACCAACCCUCUUGUCGAGAGGUUAAAUUUAGUUGAAAAAGAAAACAAUUACUUGAAGAAAAAAUUGAAAAUAAUUGAGGAGAAGAAUAUGGAACUGGAGUUGCAUGUUGCCGAUGUCGUCGAUGAUCACAAGAUCAACAUGGAUGCAAUGCGGUUGAAGAUGGAUGCAAUGCGCUUGAAGAUGAAUGCAAUGCGCUUGAAGAUUAGGAAUAUUAGAAAAUACGCCACUGAUGAAGAGGCUUGGUAUCAUUAUGUUCUUGGGUCAUUGUUACCUUACUUGUGAUUUUGAUCGCAUUUGUUGUGGCAUUUAAAUGUUUUACAUAGUUGUAUGUUGUUUUAUGAGAGUACUUUAUGUAUUUAUUUUUGCAAUAAUAAUAUUUGAUCACUACAGUACUUUGAUUUUAAUGUGAUGCUGAACUUGUAUUAAUUUGGUCAUUUCUCUAUUCAUGAUGUUCUGCAAUGGUUUUUUGAUAUACUUAAUUUCAUAAUACAAAUGAACCGCCAAUGGAUGUAUGGCGACCGACACACUCCGGAGUACAUUAUGAACCGGGACUAGUGCCCCUCCCCUGCCUACCAAUUAACCCUCCCCACCCACUUAUUUUUUUCUGAUUGGAUGUGUGGGAGGUGGGUGCUAGAAUUUUUUCCUUUGCUACGCACAAGAUGUGUUUGAUGAAAUGCCCGAGCCACACUUAAGUUCACACAAAAUGGUAUCCUCGACAGAGGUUAGCAACCUUAUCAUUUUCAUCUGUAAUUGAUACAAAAAUAUUGCAUGUGUCCAUGUACGGUGGCCAUUUCACUAUUCAUGUAUGAUGCAGAUCGAUGCACGAAAGCGAUGGAUGUAUGACGAACGACGUAGUUUUGGAUUUAUUGCAGGCCUACAUAAAUUUAUCGAUGUGGCUGAGGCAAACAAAGUGGAUAAUUUUAUGCCUUGUCCAUGUGUUGACUGUCGAAACGUCAGGGAGUACUCUAGCUCGAAAACUAUUCAAGGCCACGUGCUUCGGAGAGGUUUCAUGCCCAGAUAUUAUUGUUGGACCAUGCACGGAGAAAGAGGGGUUAGGAUGGAAGACAAUGAAGAAGAAGAAGAUGAUGACAACUAUCCUAUGUUCACUGAAGAAUACGGUGAUACUGCAAUGGAAGACAAUGAAGAAGAAGGAGGUGAAGACCAACCGGCAUGAGAUGAGACCGUUGAUGGUCUUGGUCGGGUCAUUUCUCAUGCAAAGCGAGAAUGCAUACACACAAGGAGAGGUUGAAGUUGGAGGCCAUGCUAUAGGAUCAUAAAAAGUUGAUGUACCCAAAUUGCGAAGAUGGCAGCACAAAGCUCGGUACCACACUUGAACUGUUGAAAUGGAAGGCAGAAACUGGUUUAUCUGACAAGGGAUUUGAGAAGUUACUGAAAAUAUCAAAGUCGAAGCUUCCAAAGGAUAACGAAUUGCCUGAGGCUACGUACGAAGCAAAGAAGGCUAUCUGCCCUCUUGGAUUAGAUAUGCAGAAGAUACAUGCAUGCAUUAAUGACUGCAUCCUGUAGCACGGUGAGAAGUACGAGAAUAUGGAUAAAUUCCCGGUAUGCAAUGCAUGUCGGUACAAGAUCAGACAAGAUGACCCUGGUGAUGUUGAGGGCGAUGACGAGCCCCUGAGGAAGAAGGUUCCUACUAAGGUUAUGUGGUAUGCUCCUAUAAUACCAUGGUUGAAACGUCUGUUCAGAAACAAUGAGCAUGCCAGGUUGUUGCGAUGGAACAAAGAAGAGUGUAAGAAAGACGGGAAGUUGAGACACCUCGUUGAUGGGUCGCAGUGGAGAAAAAUCGAGAGUAAGUACCCGGACUUUGCAGGUGACGCGAGGAACUUAUGGUUUGGUCUAAGUACAGACCGCAUGAAUCCUUUUGGGGAGCAGAGCUGCAGUCACAACACCUGGCCCGUGACUCUAUGUAUCUACAACCUUCCUCCUUGGUUGUGCAUGAAGCGGAAGUUCAUUAUGAUGCCAGUGCUGAUCCAAGGACCGAGGCAACCCGACAACGACAUUGAUGUGUACCUAAGGCCAUUAGUUGAUGAACUUUUGCAGCUGUGGGCCAACCAGGUGUACAUGUGUGGGAUGAUCACAAACAGCGGGAAUUUGACCUACGAGCAUUGUUGUUCGUAACCAUCAAUGAUUGACCUGCUCUUAGUAACAUUUCAGGACAGUCAAACAAGGGAUACAAUGCAUGCACGCACUGUUUAGAUAAGGCUAAAGGUACAUAUUUGGAAAAAUAUAAGAAGGUUGUCUAUGUGGGGUCUCGUCAAUUUCUUCCGACCAAUCAUCCCAUAAGAAAGAAAGGCAAGCAUUUCAACGAUGAGGCAGAUCACCGAAAGAAGCCUAACCUCCCUACUGGUGAUGAGGUAUUGGCUGUGGUCAAGGAUUUGAAUCAAAUAGUAAUCUUUGUAAAGGGUUUUGGCAGUCAAUCUGUUUCGAAAGACGUGGUUACCAGUCACGUGCCCAUGUGGAAAAAGAAAUCUUUAUUUUGGGAGCUACCCUAUUGGGAAUACCUAGAGGUCCGCUAUUCAAUCCACGUGAUGCACUUGACGAAGAAUCUUUGCGUGAAACUGCUAGGCUUCCUGGGCGUGUAUGGGAAGACAAAAGAUACACGAGAAGCACGGGAGGAGCAACAACGUAUGAAAGACCCAUACGACAAGAAGUGUCAAUACUUAAGCAGCUACGCUCUUACCAAAGCAGAGAAGGAAAUCGUUUUUGAAUUCCUGAGUAGUAACAAGGCCCCCGCUGGCUUCUCUUCUAAUAUAAAGGUAAUAAUAAAUAUGGCAGAGAAAAAAAUUCCAUAACCUGAAGUCUCAUGAUUGGCACAUGAUUAUGACGUAGUUGCUUCGAGUUGCAUUGAGGGGGCUUCUACCGGAAAAUGUUCGAUUACCCAUUGUGAAGCUAUGUGCAUUCCCCAAUGCAAUAUAUCAGAAGGUAAUCGAUUAAGAAUGUCUGGAAAGGAUACAGAGGGAUGUGGUCCAAUGUCUUGUCAGUUUUGAUUUGGUGUUCCCCCCGUCCUUCUUCAAUAUUAUGACACAUCUCCUAGUUCACCUAGUCGACGAGAUUUCCAUUCUCGGUCCUAUAUUUCUACACAAUAUGUUCCCCUUUGAGAGGUUCAUGGGAGUCUUAAAAAAUAUGUUCAUAACCGUGCUAGUCUAGAAGGAAGCAUCUCCAAGGGCUAUGGAACAGAGGAGGUCAUUGGGUUUUGUGUAUACUUUCUUCCUGGUCUUAAGCCGAUUGGUGUUCCUGAAUCGCGGCAUGAGGGGAAACUGAGUGGAAAAGGCACGCUAGGAAAGAAAGCAGUGAUAUGUAGGCACGGGCAUUCUUUCACUCAAGCACACUACACAGUUCUACGAAGUUCCACCUUCGUGGCUUCGUAUAUCGAGGAACACAAGAAUUUUGUACGCUCCGAGUUCCCGGGGAAGGCUGACUCCUGGAUUGAAGAAAAACACAUGUAUACUUUCGGCAGUUGGUUGUGAGCACGUCUCAUGAAUGACAACACUGUUGUAGAUCAACUCUACUUGUUGGCCGUGUCACCUUCUUGGAUUGUAUUACAUUUCCAAGGGUACGAGAUAAAUGGGAAUACAUUUUACACGACCGCCCAAGAUAAAAAGAGCACCAACCAAAACAAUGGUGUCCGCUAUGAUGCAACAUAGGAGAAUGGGGAAAAGGACACAUACUAUGGUUACAUAGACGAGAUAUGGGAACUUGACUAUGGACCUACUUUUAAGGUCCCAUUGUUUCGGUGUAGUUGGGUGAAUAUGAAUGGAGAAGGGGUAAAGGUAGACCAGUUGUACGGAAUGACAAUAGUUGAUCUCAAGAAUCUUGGUUACAGAGACAAGCCAUUCGUUCUAGCCAAUGAUGUGGCUCAGGUUUUCUACGUGAAAGAAAUGUCGUCCAGAUCGAAAAACAGAAGAAAAAAAUGAAUACAUCGGACGGUGAGGCAAAGUUUCACAUAGUUCUUUUAGGGAAAAGAAACAUCACGGGAAUCGAGGACAAGACACACAUGUCAGCAGAUUAUAAUAAGUUUGACGAAAUUCCGCCCUUCACACUGAGAAUUAACCCAAGCAUCCCGUUAAAUAAUGAAGAUGCUCCAUGGUUACGGCCAAAGUGAUCAUAGGCAAGGGAUCGAAAUGUAAAUCUAUGUAAUGUAUUAAACUUUAUGUGAUAUGUACUAAUGUAUCAAACUUUAUGUUAUGUGUACUAAUGUAUUAAACUUGGUACCACUUGGUUCUAAAGAAAAUGCACUUUUCCUUUUAUUAGUGGGAAAACGACGUUUUUUGUGAAAGAGGUACCAACUACGAGAACUAAAACAACUACGAGUACGAGAGCUAAAACAACUACGAGAAGUAAAACAACUAUGAGAACUAAACCCUAAACAGCUACGCCAACUUUCAACCUUUUCAGAGCCCAUUUGUAGGGAUUUUAAAUUUCAGGGUCAAUUAGCUCAAAGAACAAACUAAUAGCAAAAAGAAUGAAGUAAAAAGAAUCAACUAAAAAGAAUCAACUCAAAAGAAUCAACAAAAAGAUUAACUAAAAAGAAUGAACUAAAAAGAAUCAACGAAAAUUAUCAAAGUGUUUAUUUGUUAAAAAGAAUCAAGUAAAACAUUAACUAAAAACAAUCAAAAAAAUAUCAACUCAAAAGAAUUUUCAUAAAGUUUUCAGAGCCCAUUUGUAGUGCUUUUCAAAUUCAGGGUCAAUUAGCUCAAAGAAUAAACUAAUAGCAAAAAUAAUGAAGAAAAAGAAUCAACUAAAAAGAAUGAACUAAAAAGAGUCAACCAAAACAUCAACUAAAGAGAAUGAACUAAAAAUAAUCAACUAAAAUUAUCAAAGUGUUUAUUUGUUAAAAAGAAUCAAGUAAAAAAUUGACUAAAAAGAAUCAAAAAAAUAUCAACUCAAAAGAAUUUUCAUAAUUUUUUUUAAAAUAUAUAAUAGAAAACUAAAAUAAAAGAGAAAAAAUAUAUUUAAUAGCAAAGAAUUAAAAUAUAAACUGGGACUAAAAAUUAUUAAAGUAAAAAAAUGCCACCUACUAGGCCAUGAGGACGUGCAUACGACUAGAAACCCUAGAAGCUAGAUGGGCCAGGAUGCAGGCCUGUAGAAGGCCUAGUAGGACCACAGGGUAGUGAGAGUGUGGUUAGGCCCGUAGGCCUGCGUUUGAUAGGAUCUCGAGAGGGUUGGCACAACGGGGCUUAUAAACCACUCUCAACUCCUCUCAACUAGCUAGGUGGGNCGGCCUCCACAGCUAGCUCCAUCUCCGGGCCCCCAGUGAGCUCCUCCUGUCACCACCAUCGCACCCACACCAUCGUUGACCUCGUGUCCCCGCCGUCGUUGCGGGACCCCUCGUAGUGGCAUCAUUUUCGUGCCGUCCCUCGAGCCUCCUCAUCGUUGCCGCGCCCUUCCCCUCCGGUGAGAAGUAUGGCAUCCGUUGUUUCUGUUGACAGAUUCAGGUUUAGGGUUGUACUGAGAUUGUUACAAUCUAAAAAAUGGUUUAAUGAAAAUGCAAUUUGUGUUCUAUCUCAGCAUGUUCUAAUUAGUGUUCAAGUGAAGAAAAGUGAAGACAUUGUUGACUUUUGACUAAAUGUGCUCUGGUUUUUUAGAUGUGCUCUAGUUUUUUAGAUGAGAUGUUUUGUGAAGAUGAGAUGAGAUGUUUUCUGGAAAUGUGAGAGAGAUGAGAUGAGAGAAUUUAUUUUAGGCUUUUUUAGAUAUAGAAACAAAUGUUAAAAUUUGCAUGUGCUCUGGCUUUCUUGUUGCAUAAUGAGAUUAGAUGAGAUGAGUCACCGGCGAUCGUCGGAGGAGUCCUCGACGAUCGCCGGUGAGGAGUCCCCGACGAUCGUCGAAGGAGUCCCCGACGAUCGCCGGUGAGGAGUCCCUCACGAUCGUUGAAGGAGUUCCCGACGGUCGUUAGAGGAGUCUCGGACGAUCACUGGUGAAGAUUCCAGGGCGAUCGCCGGUGAAGAUUCCCCGACGAUCAUCGGUGCGGAAUCCCCGACGGUCGUCAGAGGAGCCCCCGCGGUUGUCAGAGGAGUCCCCGACGAUCGCCGGUGAAGAGUUCCUGACAAUCGCCGGUGAGGAGUCCCUGAUGAUCGCCGGUGAGGAGUCCCCAACGAUCACUGGAGGAGACCCCGACGGUCGUCCAAGGAGUUCCCGACGAUCGUCAGAGGAGUCCCAGACGAUCGCCGGUGAAGAGUUCCUGACGAUCGCCGAUGAGGAGUCCCCUAUGCUCAUCGGAGGAGUCCCCGAUGGUCGUCGGAGGAGUGUACUCUCUUGAAAGUAUAACCCCAAUAACUUCGACAUUAGGGGGCGUCAUGAGCCCCCCCGUUAAAUGACAAUACAUAAAUGUUUCCCUCUCCCCAAGUUAAUUAAAAUGUUUACCUUUUCUUAUUAUUCUUUAUUUUUUGCAUUGUUCUUAAUUUGCAGAUACUAUGGAUCCAAUACACGGCAGAGACGAAUAUCAGGAUGACAUGAUGCAUGGUGUCAUCCGUGAGGAUGAUUUUAUUGUUGGCAGUGUCACCAAUCAGUUUCUGAACGAGUCCGGCGAGGGAGAUGAGUCUGUCAACACAGGAGGUAGAAGCUCCGGUGUGAUAGACGCCCACGCCUCGGGCGAGCGAGGAUUCAGCGGCUCCGAUGAGGGAGAAGCCGACAAGGGAGAAGCCGAUGGCUCCGGCGUGGUGCAUAUAUAUAUUAAUAAAUUAAUCCUGUGCUGUCUAUAUACAUAUAUUAACGCUCUUUCUUCUUUUAGCCCUCCGGAGUGAGCAAAACUUAAGUACGGAUGAAACGAGGCCCAACCAAGAAGAUGGAUGACGGUGAGAGGUACAUGAUCGAAAGAGUCUCAAAAGGCGGGCAAUCGAUUGUUCCCACAGAUGUAAAGAAGAAAUUUGUGAAGGCAUGCAGAGUUAUUGUUAAGGACCACAUCCCUAUCACCACUCGAGAAUGUCUUAAGCCAAGGGUGGAAGGAGUCUCAUAUGUCGGCACAGUAGCCAAAGAAAACCUUUGGAGAAAGCUCAUGCUUCAUUUCACCCUGCCGGCGCCAGAGGUGGAUCCAGAUGAGGAGGAAAUGAAGAGGCGAAACGAGGCCCUAGAGAAAAAAUUCAAGGAGUGGGCUCUUAAGAAAAUGACCGAUCUAUUCAGGGGCUGGAAGAAAAGAUUGCACCAGGAUUUUAUCUUGCAAGAUAAGACUCCAGAUUUCGAUAACGGCUAUGAGAAGAUAAAAGACUAUUUGACCGAAUUUGUGGCGUACAAGAAAUCGGAGGACGCCUUGAAAAAGUCUGCAACAAAUAAGAGGAAUGCACGUAUGAAGAAGUACCACCAUAUUAUGGGGUCUGCUAGCUACGCCAGUAACAUGGCUAAGUGGGACGCACUUGAGGCACCAUUUCUGGCUAACAAUAUCACUCCAGAGCCCUUAACAUGGAUCGAACGGUUAAGAAACUGGUUUUACGGGCAUGGGGCAUGUUGGACGCCAAAGGGAAGGAAAUAUAUAACCAAACACACAAAGAUAAUCCCCUACUACCCAUCGAGAACAUUAGAAGUGUAGUAAAGGAUGUUGAAGAGGAACGGUUCGUUCUCGAUAGAGAGAACGAUGAGCUCUCACGCGCCCUUGGGAAUGAUGAACACAAAGGACGAGCACGAGGCUUACCAGGCUCCCCGCCAUGGAUGCUUGCGUUUUCUGAGGAAAUGAAGAAAUUUCCCAAUAGAAGCCAUCAGAGGAGAAUGGAAAAGGAGGCAGCUGAGAAAGCGGCUACUGCAGACCGGCCGCAUAAUGUAGAAGAAGGAGUAAAGCGGCUGCAACAGGAUCAAAUCAAUAGACUUAGCCAACAAGGUAGCGGCCUAUCUCAGCAUCUCAUGAUAGAAGCUGCAUCGAAUCGGAAAAGCAAUGUCGAUUCCACGCAGCUCCAGGAUGAUGGUGACGAUGAUGCACUGACGACGGCUCCUCCUCGUCGCUACCCAGUGGAUGAUAUCACAGAGAGCACACCUUGUGAGCUAAAGGUGAAAGUUGCUAACUUAAGGUUGACGGUAGCGGUCGGCAUGGUCGUACUAAUUGGACAUAAUCCAACUUGGCAUUGCUCUCCGGUUACAAAAGGGUACGUUGUCAUCACAGUGGAUGAAGUGAUGAAAGAUUAUGAGGAGCUAAAGCUGGACUACCGUGCAGGUGAAUAUAGGGAUUUGACUGAACUUGGAGAAGUCAAGAAACAGACCAUUGUAUGGCCAAAGGAGCACAUCUUGCUUCCAAAUUGGUCGCCAAGGCCACCGACCCCUCAGAGCAGCAAUCCUUCUUCGCCUCCACCUCACCAGUCUCUAGCACAACCGUCGUCUUGACCGCCUCACCAGUCUCGAGCGCAACCGUCGUCUUCGCCACCUCACCAGUCUCCAGUGCAGCCGUAUCCACCACUGCAUCAGCCGUCUUCACUGACCCGUCAGUCGUCUCCGUCCACUGAGGAUCAGAGCCAAAAGCGAAAACGUACCACCACUAAUAGUGGCGGUAGAAAGGGGUUCCGAUCACCGAAAUGUAAGUCGUCGCCCCUCCCAAAAGUACCUCAUAAGAAUAUGGAGAUGAGACCUUGGGACUAUAGUGAAGAGAAAAAUAAGAAGAGGGCAGACGCCCAGUAUCAAAAGUGGAAGGCUGACAUGGCUAACAAGAAGAAGUAGAAAGAGCCAGAGUUCCCGGUCACCCUAGAAGAUCACGCCGCAUGCGUGAAAAUGUUGAAUACUCUUGGACAACCCCCGCCAACAUUGCGAGAAGACCAUGAACGCGCUAUUCUCAAGUCGGCUGAGGUAAAAAAGCAGUGGUUGAACAGUAGUAGGUACAACGCGAAAUCAGUUGCCCAGCUCGGAUAACAGAAAAACCAAUCGUGCCCCCGCUCAAAGUGUAUUCGGAUACAGAGGUGUGCUCGAGUGGAGCUGCGGCCGAGCAGAGGUAUGAUGAAACAACUGAUAUCAAUCCGGAGUUUGUUGCACUGUACAGAGAAGCGGCCAAGGCUCAUGGCAUGACUAUUGUUCGGUACUUAAACAAUAUACAUGAUUUCACUGACGUAGCAUACCAGUACCGGCACGGGUCUCCUCUCGUCAAACCCGAGUUAGUCAAUGAGCUAUCAACAAAAAUGCAAAUAUUGCAUAACUGGUACAUGCGAGCAUCUGCUGAAUAGCAAAACUGGAUCUAUUGUGCAUAUAAAAACGAGCAUUACAGGCAUGGAGAAGGAGUGCUAAUGAUUGAAUUCAAUGAAUUAUUUCAGUUAUACCAACAAGAUGCCCUCGACAAAUCUAUCAUCAGUGCCUAUUGUUUGUAAGUAUUAUUAGUUUAUGUCAUUAAGUCUUACUCAGCUCGUUCAUUGCAUGUAUAAUCUUACUCAUCACUACAUUAAUUUUGCAGAAUGAAGAUUCUCGAAUGCAAAUGAGGACGAAUCUAUGACAUUGGGUUCAUUGACCCAUAUUUCAUUCAAGAAAAAAUUUCUCGAACUGAAUACCAACGAGAUAGAGAAUAAGUUGUUACAAGGGUUAAGGUUGUCCGCUACCAAAAGGGAAAUACUAUUUCCUUACAACUUCAAGUGAGUGUUACUGUCUUGUACACACAUUCUAUUUUCGCUUACUCGAUGUUAAUUGUAUAAUUGACUCGUUAUGUGUGCGUAGCUUCCACUUUAUUCUGUUAAUCAUUGAACCUCACAAUGGACUAGUAAAAGUCAUGGACCCAAAACGCAAACCCCUCGCUGAUUGGGCCAACAUGAAGGAAUGCCUCCAGAGGUAAUCUCAAUCAUUAUGGCACUAUAUCGGCAACUUUUCAUUCAUUUCCUGAUAGCAAGUAAUUAAUAUAGAACUCCUUUAUUUAUUUCCUUUUCUUGGUAGGGCUUGGAAACGGUUCACCGCCAAGUGUUGGGGUGUUUGGUAGCCAGAGCUUACAUUUAGACAAAUGGAUGUAAGUACUACUAGCUAGAUCUGCCAUCUCUUUAUUCUAGUUUCAAUACCAUUAUCAUGCUUGAUUAUGUUCUGAUUGAACUCUGUUCUCGUAAAGUGCUUGAGGCAGGAACAUGGGAACAAUUUAUGUGGAUACUAUGUUUGCGAGUUCAUUCGCCAGACGACCCAUGAGACGGGCAAAAACCGGGACUUCAGAAAAAUUGAAGUACGAUAAACAAUACUCACAACUUUAUUUUAUUACCAUCAAUUGUGUUCGGUUUCAUUGAUAUAUAUAUAUAUAUUGACCCCUUCUUUAAAUUAGAUCAAAUGGUUGCGGGACGGUCUUCUACCAGAGGAACGCAUACGAGCAAUUCAAGAGGAAAUUGUCGGAUUCUUUGAUGCAGAGGUCCUAGAUCUGAAGGAAGAAAACUAUUGCCCGCCGGUUGAAGUGAAAUGUUAAAGUGUAAAAGAGAUGCAUAUGUGCAGGUAACUCGUGUCUACAUUUUGUAAUAUGUUCGACAAAGCACGACAGAUGAGAUGGAGUAAUAUAUUCAUGACGAUGAUGUGCAAUAUAGUUGUUCCUUAAUUGCUGUGUAUGUACCAUCCAAUUUAGUGCAAAACACAAAUUAAAAACGUGCCCAAGACAAAUAAAUGGGAAAAUAGAAAAAAAAUAAGGGGCAGCAAAAUAGCCCCCAUCCAAUUUAGUGCAAAACCCUAAACCCUAAAAAGUGCUAAAAAAGGCAGCGAAGCAAUAGCCCCGAUUCGUAAUAAGAACCCAGACUAAUACUCCUCCCCCCUCGCUCCCAGCCCCGCCACGUGGAGGACCAUUAGCCCCGGUUCGGGGGCGAACCGGGGCUAGAAUUAGUCCCGCUUUUGUGGUACCGAUUCCUGAACCGGGGCUGAUGGCCCAAACGAACCGGGUCUCAAGCCUAUAUUUCUGCUAGUGUUUUAAGCGCAAGUAUAUUAUUGUUCAUACAAAAGUCGGGCAAGUAAAAUAUAACACCUUUAGUUCAUAAGGAUGGAAUGCGGGUGCGUGCGUUUACAUAGGUGAGUAUAUGUGCAUAAGUAUGUGNNNNNNGUGUGUCCAUCUUUACUGUAUUAAAAAAAGCGUUCAUUUUAUACCGAAAAGAAGCAACAUGAAUUUUUAUAGAGAAAAACACCCAAAAGGUAUCUUAUGUCUAAUUACUCCUAUAAAUGAUGAUGGAGUGCCCCGGAAUUGGCGCCCUCGCGCGCGCUCCACAUCGUCUUAUCCACUAGCGCCUCACGUCGGUGCCUGUCUCACGCCCUCCCUACCUUCCAAUCGGACCAUGUCACUCCUUAUAGAGCCGGCAUCCUCGGGGUCCAUGAAUCAUGAGUCACGACCGUGUCCAUGGCCUCCUUUCUGUAGUGUUUUUGUUGCCCCUGCGUGCGCAUUUCCCGCGGUUGGUCGUUGUGGGUGUAGCCAUGCCUUGCCCGAUGGUGUGGAGGUUGCUUCUCGGCUUGUGUGAGCCACUUUCAUGGUAUUCGGUUUUUCCGGGAGUGAUAUAUAGGUUUUACCCCUAAGUUUGACAUAUUUGAGACUAAUUACCCCGUUUAAAAUAAUUUCAUCCAUUGUACCCCAUUUAACAAAAAAUUUGCCACAAUUUACCCCUUUUGAAACUUAAAGCGUUCUGAGUGGUGUGUCAUAAUUAUUAGAUCCAACUCGAGUGCCACGUAUAGAGGUUUUUUAAGGUAUUUUUUCUGCAUACUAAACGGCUUCGCACGGUUUCUAUCUACCGACCAGACUAUACCGAUGGGAAGCAGACGCAUGUCCUCGAACAAUUUAUAAAGUUACACGUCGCUUGAGUCCAGUGCACCAUGAUCAUUCAAUCCCGCUGCAUAUUUCAUUGAGUCUGUUGCGCCAGAGUGGCCUCCAAUCAUGGUACACAUCGCUCGCCUCUAGUCACAUAGAGGAUCGUGCCCAAGUCUGGCCGAGUCCACUUCGCUCCUUCCUUCUGAGAGGGGAGGACGAACGUAUGCGAUGAGCGGUAGGCGACAUGUCAAGUUUUCACUGGGAUUGUUCGAGCUGCAAGCAGCAACCGAUAUGUCAAUCUCCUUCUCUCUUACGCUUGCUUGAAUUCUCUGUUUUUCACUUCAGUGGUUAGGCUUUCAGUUUUGCUCUUAGUCCAGGAUGCAUAUCACAUGGGUUCCGGACAAUUGUUUCUGGUUUGAAGAUCUCCGAUGAGAUGAAUAUUAUUAGUGGAAACAUUAUUGGAUUUUUUUAUUGAUAUAAUCCCGAAUCAGUUUCUGUUUUCUAUAUGUAAAAGGAACUUAAGUUUUCUAUACGUAAGAUGAGAGCAUUUGGAUAACCAUAUAUUCCAUGCUAAUAGCAUGCUGAAAGACACUAGUAAUAGGGAAAUCUGCGAACUUUGUGUCUGAGCGUCUUCUUGUUGUAUGGAUUUUAUCCGCUAAUUAGUGAUUUUGGUUUUCUUGCACAAAUCAUAUGGCAACCGAGAUGUGGAGCGUUAGGUCCACUUUUCAUGUCCGUGGAUACAAUAAUCCAGAGCCAGAGUUGAUUGAGACGGAUUUCAUUAGUUAUUUUGAUAUAAAGGAGAGGACAAAAGAGUUGGGUUUCAACCAUUGUGACAUCGUUUAUUAUGAGAAGAAAGGGGACAAUGGGAACUCCAUGGUUGAGUUAAUAAAUGACACUAGUGUUAUGAAGAUGCUUGAGGAGUUUGAUGCUUAUAAGGAGAUCGAUUUGCAUGUUUUCAGAACCUUGGAUCCAAAUACAUUUCCAUUUUCCAGGAAUGGUGUUGAUUCUUACAAGCCAAUAGUUGUGGUCUUGUUGAAGAGAAUAAUGAAGAGGACAAUAAAAAUGUGGAGAUGCUUUCAGAUGUAUAGUACAAUGAUCAAGUGGAAUACUAGAGGUAUUUGAAUGGGCAAGAUUAUGGAACUUAUUCAAGUGAUGAAGAUUUUGAUGUUGUUGCUGAAACAGAGAAGUUGAGAGCCAUGUAUGCUAAAAUGAAGGAGAAAGAAUUGCCAGAAAAGGGUGUGUAUUUAGAGGAUGAAUUUGAAGAUUUAUUUGAUGUCACAGAAGGCUUAGAUGGCAUUGAUCUUGAUGACAUUGCUCUUCCACAAACACAAAUGGAGAAAGACAUGAAUUUUGCAAAGAAAGAGGAAGCAAGACAUAAAAAAGGAGAAGACAACUAAGAAGAUGGCAUUGGCAAGGAGAAGGGACCAUAAGAAGAAAUUAGUUGACGGUGACUUUGAGCUUUUAGAUUCUCCAAACUCAGAUGGUGAAAAUGAUCCUUUAGGACAAGGUAUCGAUGAAAAUGAAGAUUCACGUUUGAUAGUUUUAUUACAAGGGAGAAAAAGAAGAAGGCCCAAGAUGUUGUUAGACCCAAGAAUGCAAUUUGAUGAUACUUACCUUAAUGAUGCUGAUAGUAUGCUAGAACAACUUGUCAAAGGGAUGUGUUUCAAAUCUUACAUUCUUAAGAAGUUGAUACUACUAGCAUUCUCUCAACAUGCAUAUCAUCCACGUGAGCGUUUUGCCGCAUAGGCUUUCACACACAGCUAUUUACACGAGCAAGUGUAAUCUUUGGCACCCUUCCACAUCCAUCAGAUAAAAAUGUUUAUUGCUAUACUCUUCAUGCAAGAGUUAAUCUCGCUGGCAUGCCUAAUAAACCACAUUCAAUACGUGCAUGCAAUGGAGCAUCAAAAUACCCGCGACCUUGAUCAUGAUAAAAUUACUCGCAAGUCAUGUGUCUCAUUAAUUAGCAUUUGGCAUUUGGAUGAGGUAAUCCUUUCUCGACUCCAUCCUUUUUGGCCAAUGUGGGGACAUGGGAGAUUGAUCCAUUUAAUGGCAAUGCUGAUUCCGGAGGUGUUAUCAUUACCCUUCGUCUUAGCAGCUUAGCUUAUUAAUCUGAACGAAUACAUCUCCAUCGAUCCUCAAAAAAUAUCCACCAAUUCUUCUCAUCUUCCGCAUCUCCACCUCUCUCUCCAAAAUAGGUUUCCACCGGCCAAGCCUUAUGGGUUAUCUCCAUCGAAGGUGGUCCGCUCACUACGCCAAAGUCUUAUGAUCAUUCUUUCUAACUCUACCUUUCUCGUGGCCCCGCGAUCCUUGUCAUCGAUGGUUAUGAUGGCCCAAGACGUUCUCCGAGACAUCGAUAAGAUGAGUUGUACGUGUACAUGCCACCGCCGAUGUCCUCCUCCAACAUCACUAGAGGUGGGUGCUUUCUUUCCUCUCAAUGUUCUCAGAUAUUAACAUAAUUUUUGAGUUGGUUCGAAGGUCUGAUUUUUGUGUGCUCGGAAAUUUAAUUGUAGGAACCUCUGUUCCAUCUCGAGUGAUCUCCUCCGUGGUAAUAAUCUAGUCAGUCUCUCUCCACCAAACUCCUUUCUAACUCAGUUAUUGCAUACACACAUAUGUCGGGAUAAGAUGAAUCAUUGAUGUUUCUCCAAUCCGAUUGUUUUUUAUUGGGGCGCUAGAUGGUGAAAUUUUCUUAUUCCUUUUGUGUUCUUUAGGGUUCUCGAGAGAACAAGUACAUGAAGUUAGAAUGUAUUGUUCUAAACUACAACUACAUCUCGCUAUCUUCCUCCCUUCACACAUAAUAAUUCAGUACAAAUUGUGUAAUUUUAUUCCUCUUCUUUGGUUGUUUUGUAGAAUCAUAACAUAUGGCAUAUUGGCAUAUCGGGGUUCAUUUUCAGGUUAUUUGUUCUCUAUGAGUAGUAUUUAAUUGUGAAUUUCAUGGGAUCUUUCUAUUACAUGAGUUAUAUAAUUGUGUGUUUAACAAUUUUGUUCUUCCCGUACUGCACGACUCUACCAUUGUCACAACAAUCAUCUACCUAUGUAAAUGAAUGAAAUAUAUGUGAACACACUUGCAUUCUCUCUCAAAUUUAAGGUAACUAUAUGUGGUGCCUAUAGACUUAAUAUACAUUUUUUUGUAGUAAUAAUAUCAGUAUGUGAUUAUUAUGGUACUAAUAACAAUCCUAACCUCAGAGGUUUCUUUCGAAUGAUUACUAAGUGGAUAAGGUAUAGGAUUAUGUAGUAAAAUGGAGUGCACAUGUGUCUACUCAGCAGCCAUGACAUUUUGUAUAGCUGGUUAUGUUUCGCUCAAUAACUGGAUCAAGGUGAAGAAUGAUUACUAUUCAGAUGCAUUAACACCGCAAGGCUCACAAAUUAGUAUGAAAUAUAUUCGUUUCUUGCUCUGAUGCACUUCUAAUAGACAAUCGAAUGAUAUGUUAAAAUAUUAUGAGAAAAAACUCAUUACAAUAUAUGUUACUUCUCUUUAUGUUGGUGAUGCAUUCUUCUAAUUAUGCAAAUAUGGAGAUAACUGACCAUAUAUUAAUAGGUCCAACUUUUUAUACCAUUCAAAGAUUCAAAUAGACGUAUAUUUAUAUUAUUGUUUCCAUCAAUUCCAUAAUUUCUCACUCUAUAUAACCUCCUAUAUACUACUACACAUUCCCGGAGCAACGCACGUGGUGUCAUCUAGUAUGUCAAAGAUUGUAGAGUAGCACUUAAGUCAUUCAUAUAUUGCAAGGACGAAGCUUUGGUUUUGUGAAGAAUAAGAUGGAAAAGGUGAAGGUGCAUUGCACACAGCCAAAUUGCGCCUUCUAUCUUUUUGCAUCAAAGAUAGCUAGUGAGUCCACUUCUAUGGUCAGAGAGGAUGUAGAGCCACACUCGUGUGGAUUAAUAGAGUGGACACUAGGCUGAAUUCCACAUGGAUAGCUUCUCAUUAUGAGGCUCAGUUCAGAGUUGAUCCCAAUUGGAGGCUUGAUGCUUUCAUGGAGGCUGUUAAGGGAGAUUUUAAUUUUGAAAUAAGAAAGAGGAUAGCAUAUAGGGCUAUAUCUUAUGCCCAAAAGAAGGUUCUUGGGGAUGAAUACAAGCAAUAUCUUAGAAUUAGAGACUACUUGCAUACAUUAUUGAACAAAAAUCAUGGAAGCAUCGCUAUAGGUACCACUCAGCCAAAUCUCAAGCCACAUGCCAAUGCUAAUCCUCUAUUCACCGGGCUGUUUGUGAGUUUUCAUUCACAAGACCCAGGAUUCUUAUUCGGCUAUAGGCCAUUCAUUGGAUUAGAUGGUUGUUUUGUCAAGCUAGCUAAUGGUGCACAAGUUUUAGCUGCCUCCACAAGAGAUGGCAACAACAACAUGUUUCCUUUAGUGUUUGGAGUGGUUAACAUAAAGGACAUUAACAAUUGGACAUGAUUUCUGCAAACACCAGAGUCAGCAAUUGGAUAGGGAGAGCAACAUGGUGGAUGGACAAUCAUGUGAGAUAGGGAGAAGGUAAUAACAUAUUUCUUAUCUUUUUCAUUUAUAUGUUACAUUUGAUUUGCAUGUUGUAACUGACAACUCUUCCAUUUAUUUGUGAGAGGGAUUACUUUCAGCAGUCACAAAGAUUUUUCCAUGUUGUGAACAUAGAUUUUGCAAAAGGCACGUUCUCACAAACUUCUCUAGAGCUAGAUUCAGAGGUGAAAUCUACAAGAAAUACUUUGAUAAGGUUGUUUAUGUAUUCACUUUGAAUGAGUACAAUAUUGACAUGGAGAACUUGAAAUCUUAUGACUUAGAAGCAUGGACGUGGGUUAGAGAAAUACCCAAGGAGCACAUUAGUAGGCAUGCUUUCAACACAAGAUCCAAGACUGAUCUUGUUGUGAACAACCUCAGUGAGGUGUUCAACAAAUACAUCCUUGACUAUAGAUAAAAGCCAAUUCGUACCAUGACGGGGCUCAUCAGAACUAGAGUUAUGAAAAUAUUUUGUUUGAAAAGAAAGGGAUGUGAGUCGGUGGCUAAGAGCAAAGCAAGGUAUUGCACAACUCAUCAAUUUAGUGUUGGGCUUUCGCAAGUAAACAACACUGAUAAGACCAAUGAAGUAAACAUGCUUAAUAAGACUUGUGGUUGUUUCAGAUUUCAAUUAUGUGGUUUUCCUUGUGAACAUGCGUGUGCAACUAUAUUUAAGGCUAAGGAAAGGCGUGAGAAUUAUGUUGAUGAUUUCUUCAAGUUGAAAAAUUACAAGAAAUCAUAUGGACACAUGAUAUACCCUGUUCCACAUGAAUCUGAGUGGAUUAAGACAUCAAGUCCAGACAUCGAGCCACUAGGUUACACUAUUCAACCAGGAAGGCCAAAGAAAAAUAGAAUAAAAGGGCAUGAGGAGAGUGGUUAUGCUUAUGCAAGAGAAAAAGAAGGAACAAUACAUUGUGGAAAUUGCAAGGAACUUGGCCACAAUGUCAAGGGCCGCAACAAGCCACUAAGAGCAUAUCUUGCUCUUAGGGUGAGAAAACAUGUGGUAAGCGCUCUCUUUUCCUUAAGAAAUUACAUUGCCGGUACUUGAUUCAAGUAUGGUACCAAAUAACCGCAUUUUUACUCUCUACAAUGCAAGACAUUGACAACAAGAACACAUCGGAGAAAUGCCAGUCCACCAGAUACACCUAAUACAGAACCUAAGCUACUCUAAGAGCGGGUGCAACAACAACUAGUAGGGGGAGAGGAAAAGUAGCUACAAAGAAGCCUAGAAGUUCAGCAUCGGGAGCACCUAUGACUGCUAGCACUGCUGCUCCAACAGAAUCUAGUAAGGGGAGAGAAAUAGGAGCAUCCAAAGUACCUAAAGGUACUCCUAAAACAUCAACUGGUAAGGGGAGAGGAAGAGGAGCACCUAAAGUAUCUGCAGCUAAAUUCCAGGUAAAAGAAUCACUUCUAGAAUAAAUGUAGGUGGCAAUAUUUUAUUGUUGUUUACAUCAUCUCAUAAUAUUCAGGUCCAAGAAUCACAUGCAUCAUUAUCAAGUGAUGCAGCAAUUGUGAGAGGAAGAGGGCCUGCUAGUAGUGGAACGGGGUUGCAUUUCAACCUAAUUAUGGACAUAAUAGAUCUUAUGGAAGAAGUUCAAGUGGGAGAAUGCACUCCUAGUUCACCAUUGGUGCUAGUGCAACUGCUACAGAUGGUGGUGCUAGAGAGGAGUAGCAAUUACCUCAUUUGAUAGCCUAUAUAGUUAAAAACUCAUGUCUCAUGUUUUUAUUUUGAACCCCUAUUAUGUUUUUAUUUUAAUAUCUCUAUCAUGUUGAACUCAUGCCUCAUGGAGAACUCAUAUGCAGAGUUUGAUUUGAUGAUGUUUACCUUCUUUGUGUAAUGGAUUAGGAAAAUGCAAUGUGGACAAAAGGCAUGUGUUCUGUCAAAAAUAUGGUAGCUUAUAUCAGACUUAUGCACAUCGUUAUGUGAUGACCCACAAGUAUAGGGGAUCAAUCGUAGUCCUUUCGAUAAGUAAGAGUGUCGAACCCAACGAGGAGCAGAAGGAUCUGACAAGUGGUUUUCAGCAAGCUAAAAUCUGCAGGCACUGAAAUUGUCGGUAACAAGUGAUUGUGUGGUGAGAUGAUUCGUAGCAAGCAACAAGUAGAAAAAGUAGAAAUGGUGUAGCAAAGUGGCCCAAUCCCUUUUGUAGCACAGGACUAGCCUGAAAAAAGUCUUAUAGGAGAAAAAACGCUCCUGAGGACACACGGGAAUUUCUGUCACGCUAGUUUCAUCAUGUUCAUAUGAUUCGCGUUUGUUACUUUGAUAGUUUGAUAUGUGGGUGGACCGGCGCUUGGGUACUUACCUUACUUGGACAAGCAUCCACUUAUGAUUAACCCCUCUCGCAAGCAGCCGCAACUACGAAAGAAGAAUUAAGACAAAGUCUAACCAUAGCAUUAAACUAGUGGAUCCAAAUCAGCCCCUUACGAAGCAACGCAUAAACUAGGGUUUAAGCUUCUGUCACUCUAGCAACCCAUCAUCUACUUACUACUUCCCAAUUCCUUCCUCUAGGCCCAAAUAAUGGUGAAGUGCUAUGUAGUCGACGUUCACAUAACACCACUAGAGGAAAAACAACAUACAACAUAUCAAAUUACCGAACGAAUACCAAAUUCACAUGACUACUAUUAGCAUGACUUAUCCCAUGUCCUCAGGAGCAAAAGUAACUACUCACAAAGCAUAAUCAUAUUCAUGACCAGAGAGGUAAUGAAUAGCAUCAAGGAUCUGAACAUAAACUCUUCCACCAAAUAAUCCAACUAGCAUCAACUACAAAGAGUAAUCAACACUACUAGCAACCUUACAAGUACCAAUCGGAGUCGCGAGACGGAGAUUGGUUACAAGUGAUGAACUAGGGUUUGGAGAUGAGAUGGUGCUGAUGAAGAUGUUGAUGGUGACGAGUCGCCUCCGAUGAGAGGAGUGUUGGUGAUGACGAUGGCGACGAUUUCCCCCUACGGGAGGGAAGUUUCCCCGGCAGGAUCGUCCUGCCGGAGCUCUAGAUUGGUUCUGCUCAAGUUCUGCCUCGUGGAAGCGGCGAAACCACGAAAAAGCUACUCCUUGAUUUUUUCCUGGAAAAAACCCUCCAUAUAGAAAAAGAGGGGAGCAAGUGGGCCAGUGGGCUGCCAACAAGCCCUCAUGGCGCGACCUGGGGGGGUGGCCACACCGUGCAGGCUUGUGGGCACCCCCUGGUGCCCCUCUUGCACUUCUUCGGCCCAGUAUUUUUGAUAAAUCGGGAAAAAAAAUCCUCGUUGAUUUUUACGGCAUUUGGAGUUGCGUAGGAUAGGUAUCUCAACUUUGCUCCACUUUCAGGCCAGAAUUCGAGUUGCCGGCAUUCCCCCUCCUCAUGUAUACCUUGCAAAAUAAGAGAGAAAAGGCAUAAGAAUAGUACCGUGAAGUGAAAUAACAACCAAUGAAGCGAUAGAUAUCAACAUGAAAACAUGAUGCAAAAUGGACGUAUCAACUCCCCAAGCUUAGACCUCGCUUGUCCUCAAGCGAAAGCCUAGCUCAAUAAAUAUGUCCACAUGUUUAGGGAGAGAGGUGUCGACAAAACAAGAUACGAACAUGCAUGCAUCAUGAUCAUGAUCAGAACAGCAAUACCAACAUAUAAUCUCUCAUGCUAAAGUGACAAUUCCUUCACAAAGUAAAGCAUGGAUCAAGAACCUUACCGAGAAGUAACAACCGAUAGCCUUUAGUCAUUGAAGCAAUUGCAAUUUAUGACAACAUCAGAAAGAGUCAAAUAAGAGCUUGUAAAGAAAACCCACAUACUCAAACAUUCUUUCGUCCUCUACAAUUGCUACAACUCACGUGGUACUCAUGAGAUCAAAGUUUCAGGUGGACACAUAGAAAGAUAGGGGCUUAUAGUUUUGCCUCCCAACUGCUUACCUCAAGGGUAAUGUCAACAAUAAUAAUUCAUGAAUACUUACCCCCCAAGUUGACAUAUGAAUAUAGAUCUUUCCCAAGCAUAUGACGGUAGCCAAGAUAAAGGCGGAAUAAGGAAUUGGUGAAGAUCACCAUGACUCUUUCAAGGGAAAAAAGUAAAGGUACAAGAUAGGCCCUUCGUAGAGGGAAGCAGAGGUUGUCAUGCGCUUUUGAGGUUUGGAUAGGUGCCCUGUUAGUGGGUAGGAACGUCACUUUAUAUUGCCCCCUGUGAUAAAGAACUUUAUUAUGCAGUCUGUCGCUUUUAUGUCUUCCUCAUCACAGGUUCGUAUAAAGCUUAUUUUCCACACACUAAUAGAUCAUACAUAUUAGAGAGCAAUUUUUAUUGCUUGCACCGAUGACAACUUACUUGAGGGAUAUUAUUCAAUCCAUAGGCAGGUAUGGUGGACUCUCAUGGCAAAAUGGGUUGAAGGUUUAUGGAUGCACAAGUAGCAUCUCUACUUAGUGCGGGAGGUUUGGCUAAUGUGAGGUGGAAGCAAUCGUCACAUGCAAAGGGAUCUCUAAUCAUAUAACAUUGUUCGGAACCAAGCAAACACAAUUCAUUAUGUUGUCUUCCUUGUCCAACAUCUACUUCUAGGCAUGCAAUAGUUUAGUGAGUGUUCACAAUCAUAGAUGGUGUCAGAGAUGAUAUAUUUAUAUGUGAACCUCUCCUUCUUUAUCACUUCCUAUUAAUUGCAACAAUGACCAAGGUCUACGUUUGCCUACCCUCAACAAGUUUCAAUCCUCAUUCUUUUUAUAUGUGAAGCCAUCACUUCCCAUAAGAUCAUUACAUGAUCUUUCAUGCUUUUGUUCUAUUCUCACUCUUUUGAUCAUGGCAAGAGGCAAAGCCCUUCAACUAAGAUACUCUUUAUUAUAUGGCUCACGAGCAAGAAUACAUUGGAGGUGACACAAAGCAAAACUCAAGACUAAAACACUAAGACUUUUAAACUACUAGAGAAAGAGAAAACUGAAAAGGAAAACUAAAACAAAAGGUAAAGGCAAAAGAUGUGAUGGUGAUACGAUACCGGGGCAACUCCCCCAAGCUUGGCACAAGCCAAGGGGAUUGCCCAUACCAAUGCUCAGUUGCCUUCCUUUGGUGGUGAUGGUGGAGUUGUUGCAACUUGAGUUUGAUCCUCC
rnacentral:lncRNA from 1 species